CCAGAGCCCUGCCCUCGGGUGCCAGUGCUUCCAAAGGGCGCUGCUCUGCCACCCAUCUCCUCUGCACUUCACGGCUUUCCAGGGCCUUCGGAGUGCCCAGGCUCCAGAUCAAAUCCACACGGGCUUACUGAGAAACCACACUGGCCAUCUGCUUUCAGCAAACAAUAACUGUAAAGCAAAUUAAACAAAAAAAAUCCCUGCAUAUGUUACUUUCCCAUUAGGAAUGGCAGAUAAAACAAAUGCUACACGACGGAUGCCAGCUCUGCCACUUGCUGCCUUAGCGGCAAGCAUUCCUGCCCUGCAGUGGAGAGAGCUGAAUUAAUCAUACAGAUGUAAAGCAUUUUGCAGGAAGAACGCUGGGAGUUAGAGCACAGAAUGAAGUCGUGACGCGGGCAGGGAGCGGCAGUCCCCGCCUCAUGCGGCGGCUGCCCUUUGAGGGGUAGGGGCAGGCAUCUCUGCUCUUCGCCUGCAGGGGCAGCGGGUCGGAUCUUCCCCUCGGUCCGUUCCCCGAGGUCAGGCUCAGCGGGUCGAAUCUUCCCCUCGGUCCGUUCUCCCCAUGCCCGCCCCAAGCUGUGUUACUAGAGCCACACGGCCGCUCUGAGGGAAGCGAGCCCCGCCCGCCAUGGCGCCUCCGCCCGCCCCCGGCCGCCCCUUCCGCCCGCAGCCCCGCCUCGGCCCGGGACCCGCGGUUCAGUCCCCACAGGAUAUGACAGGAAGCAAAAGGUCUGAGGUGGGAACAUCUUUCUGCUGCAGCUGCAAUAUAAGAAAGGCUGACCCAAGUCACACCAAAAGUCCAGGUAACCUGAUGCCCUGCAGUUCCCUACAGUGGAAAUAUAAGGAGAGAACAGUUACAGCUUAAUUUCUCCUCCUAUUUACCAGUUCAAUCUCUGACUAUCUAAGGAUGGAAUUGGAGGCUCUCUCCAUUUCUCUGCAAAGCAGCCUGUUUUUCUGUAAAUUUGUCUAGGAACUUCUUCCUGCCCUAAGUAUUUUUGGCAUCUAAAAGAUCUCAUGAUGAUGAAUUAUCCAAAUUAAGCAGAUGUUGUUUAAAUAGUACUUCCUUUUGCUUUUUUUACACUUCCAUUUGAAAAAAUAUUAUUAGAUUCAUCGUUGUUCUCUUAAGAAAUGAGUAAUUGUUCCCUGUUCACCUUUCUCAUGUCAGACUUGAUUUUUGAUACUGUAUUCCAUCUGCCAUUUCUCAUCUAUUUUCUAAGUAGUUCCAGAGUAACUGAUCUGUCUUAGAAGGUAUUCUGUCUUUCUGAUCAAUCUGGUCACUUUUUUUCCUGUUUUUUCAUGGUUUUCCAAUGCUUAAGAUGUACCUUGUGUCAAGAUGCUAUAAGCAGAAUUUUGGCUAGUAUUAAGGGAAAGAACACAAUUCCUGAAGAUUUAUACAGUACCCUUUUUUUAAUUGUUGCUUUUUCAUUCUCUUCUGUCCUUAUCAGUCCAAACUGCCUCUCUUAGCACUAACAUUUCAGAAAAGUAUCCAUAGUGGCUUCAAAAUACCUUUGCUGACUGAUAUGAACCAAUUAGAGCCUACUAUGUUGCACAAGUAGAUUUUUUUUGUUUUCCUUUCACUGAUAUGUGAUCAUUGCAUUUAGCUGCUAUUUUAUCAUGAUGUUUUUGUCUUUUGGCUACUUUGUGUCAGCAAUUUUGGUUUUGAUUUUCCUAAAUAACUGUGAAUCCCUAGAAAACACUGUCCAAUCCUGUUUCACUUACCACUUGUGAACGUGUUGUAAAGCUCAGGUACAUUUGGAAUCUGGCUAUUCCCUUUGUGAUCAUUUACCCAUCCAUCUUCCCUUUGAAGCAGUUACCAAUCACAAAGAGAGCUCGCCUCCUGGGCUUUGUAAAACUGUUUGGGGAAAUCUUCAUAUGUGAUUGCUUCAUCCAGGCUGCAUGUUAAAUGUUCUUCAAUCAAGUCCAUGGCUCCUUUAUGGGUCAGACUGGGGAGACACCCCAAACAUGCUCUGUCUCCCCAGGUGCCACACAUUUGGAUUUCCUUUCUGUGGCAAUUAGACUGAGAGUAAAAGCAAGCUGGGAGGAGGAGAGGGGGAAGAAGAUAGCAGAAGUUGGUACAAACUUGGUCUUCUUCCAACAGGGAGUUGAUUAAAGCUGAAAACUCCAGAGUCCCAGUGUUUAUACAAAGUCUACAUAAGUCAGCUCCUCUUUAUCAAUAUUUGCUGACUUUGCUGACAUUUUUAAAGCACUACCAGGUUUGCAGUUUCUGCUUCUUCUCAUUGCAUGGUCAUGAGACAUGUGUUAGACUGACUGGGUUGUCAUUUCUGUUUUUUCUGAAGGCUUGUCUAAAAAUUUCUAUUCUUCCAGAACUAGGUUCACUCCAAACCAUAAAUUACAAAGCACAGUUAACAGUUUGGCGAUUUCAGAUCCAAGCUCCUUUUGAACCCUGGGGUGAAAAAUACAUUGUCCUGGCACUCAGGUACUGUACAGUUUACUGACUGGCUCUAAAACCACAGACACUCAGUUUUUCAAAUAUGUUUUUUUUUUUUGACCAUGCCCCUAAAAAAGGUUUUGUUGUGGCAAUCACCUCAAAAUUUGCCAAAAAGAACAGUGACAGAAAAAAAGUACUUGGUUUUCUCCUGUUUUCCCUGAAUGCGUCUGUUACAUCUCUGUUGCCUCCUAGUUCCUCACAUUCUCUGGAAGAUCUGUUCUUGAUGUGUUUGGGGAAAAAAAAAAUUACGCUUCAAAAUAUUUUUUACCUGGUUUAUUAUGGUUUUGUUUUCCCAGUUUAUGCUACUUGCCAGCAUUUAUGCUUCUCCUUUUGGACAGAAGCAGAAAAUAACAGUGUUCCAUGAGUGAAUGCACAAGUUGACUUCACAAAAUCACUUGGCUGUUUGCAGUGGGUAUCUAGAAGUUCAACCUUGUGGUACUUUGAUGUGUAUUAAAGGCAAAGAAUUUUGUCAAAGGCUGGCUGGAGAAAAAAAGGACUUGGUGAAACAUGGUCUAGAAACUGUAAGUACUGAUGUUUCCAUUAUCUUUCAGUUUCAGUGCAUUUCUGAGCAUUGUCUAUAACAUAUAUUUAUAAAAGAAAUACAACCAGACUGGAUGAUAGCUGCAACAAGCUUAUUACCACAAAUUACUAUUUCACAGUAUUCUAACACUGUGGAGCCCUAUGGCACCAGGUAUUGCAGCAACUUAAAGAGAAAGUGAGUCCCCAUCGCAAGCAGCAAAAUUCUUCUGUCCCCAUAGCUUAGGAUUUUGCUGAACACUCAUGUUCAGUAUUUAUGUCCAUACAGUGCACUGUGGAUAUAUUAGCAGUGAUCCCAGAGCCAUGCUCCAGCACAAACUUCUCUGCCAGUAAUGCUGAGCAGUGGCACUUCCCACGUGGGAUUUGGCCAACUUUAAGGUUGUUCCCUGAGUAACGUCUGUAUGUUCUAAGGGCUUUGCUGAAUCAGGACCUUACUUUUUAGAAAAUGUAUCUGCUAAUAAAAAUAUGUUCUGCUUGAUCAAGCUUAGCGUUAAGAUUAAGUGCCUUGUCUCCUCUUUUCACAGCUAAACUCCACCUGUGGUGAGAGUAAUUUAUCUUGAAUUGCUUUAAUGCAGUGUUUAAGUAUGUCUUCUUGGCCACAAAGCAGUUUGCUUGUAUUUCAGUGAGAGGCUUAAAAUCCCAUUCACAUUUUUAAUAUACAGUUUUCUCACAUAAAUUAAUCACAGCUUGGUUGGCAGGUCUUGCAUGAGUAAUAAGGUUGUUGGCACAAACACAUACCACGGGUCUGUUAGGUAAAGGAGAAGCUUUUGUUUGCUUCUAUAUUUACACAAGAGGUUUAACUUGUACAAAACGGUUUAAGAUAGUGGUGUUUUACUAGCAGGAUGUGACAAGCUGUGAGAUAACAUAUCCUCCCCAAAAUGCAUCAACAGAGUACAGAUAAAUCCCCACACACUGGUUUGAAAAUUAAACUCUUGCUAUGCAAAAUAUUUUCACAAAAUGCAGCUUCCAUUGCUUAUGUACAUAGGCAGACAACAGCCAGAAACUUGCUGUUAUAGGAAAGAGCCAUGAUCUUGAAAGGAAUUGACCUGAAUGCACUUUUUACAUGAGAAAGGAAUGUGCUCUUUCGAGUAAAUAAUGACAAAGUGACAUUUCAGCUUGCUUUCUCUCUUUCAUUCAUAACUUUGGGAAGUGAUUGCUCAGGGUAUAUAACAUGUAACUCAGAAUUCUGCAAAGUAAGUUUUUUGCUGAAAUUGUUUGAGCAAUAUCUGCACUCAAACAUUCUGCAGUGCAGUUUUGUUCCAUUGCUGUUGUAAGAGCAUGAGCUGGAGAACUUUGCCUCAAUAUCUGUUUAGGCCUGACCUGAAGUACUCUGCACAUGGUGGGCAUCUUCCACUGCCUUGAUUUAGGGCUUUGAAUCAAGUCUUCUGUAAACAACAAAAUGCAGAAAAGACAAUGUAUUGCAAGGAAUUAACUUUGGAAUGCAUAUAUAAUAUCUGUAUGUGUCACCAAUUUUGUGUUAGAUCAGCAAAACAAAUCCCUUUGUAACUCUGCAAGGUUGCAUUUGCCAAAAUGAUGUUGUGUGGUUCUGCAGUCACCACAUUGAGUGGUUUGGGUUGGUCCUCCAUCACACACUCUGUUGAAAGCAAUGUAUUAAUUAUUGCUCUUCUCAGAUUGAACAUAACUGUAUGUUUGACACAAACCAUGCACAAGAAAAUGAUAUGAAAAUGUGAGAGGCAGAACUAGAAUCUUAAGUGCUAAUGGAUUGAAACGUAUGUGUGCAAUUUGUGACUAAAUUCGACACGAACUGAAAGAGAAUUAUCAGGAAACCAAGACAGCUCUGCAGCCAAGGAUGCCUUUAAAGCACAGAAGAACAUAUGCCCUGCUCGAGAGGCUGGCAGCAGCUCACAAAUGCAGGAUACAGUUGCUGGAUGUCUCGGCUUGCACCACAAUCAGUCUGUCAAUGUAACUACAGAGAUGUUCAGGAAGAGCUGGAGAAACAGGAAUGCAACAAGGAAUGACAUUACUGAUACUGUGUGUAUUAUUUUGGGGCUUUAUGAAACCAUCAGUCUAGGAAUUGUUCAAUCCAGGGGAAUCAUUCACACUUUAAGCUUUGUCAUCUUUUAGACUUCUGUUAAUAAAAUGUAAAUCUCAGCAAUUUAUAA